rnacentral:rRNA from 1 species
UACGAAGGGGGCUAGCGUUGCUCGGAAUCACUGGGCGUAAAGGGUGCGUAGGCGGGUCUUUAAGUCAGGGGUGAAAUCCUGGAGCUCAACUCCAGAACUGCCUUUGAUACUGAGGAUCUUGAGUUCGGGAGGAGGUGAGUGGAACUGCGGAGUGUAGAGGUGAAAUUCGUAGAUAUUCGCAAGAACACCAGUGGCGAAGGCGCUCACUGGCCCGAUACUGACGCUGAGGCACGAAAGCGUGGGGAGCAAACAGG